GACGAACGCUGGCGGCGUGCCUAAUACAUGCAAGUUGAGCGCUGAAGGUUGGUACUUGUACCGACUGGAUGAGCAGCGAACGGGUGAGUAACGCGUGGGGAAUCUGCCUUUGAGCGGGGGACAACAUUUGGAAACGAAUGCUAAUACCGCAUAAAAACUUUAAACACAAGUUUUAAGUUUGAAAGAUGCAAUUGCAUCACUCAAAGAUGAUCCCGCGUUGUAUUAGCUAGUUGGUGAGGUAAAGGCUCACCAAGGCGAUGAUACAUAGCCGACCUGAGAGGGGGAUCGGCCACAUUGGGACUGAGACACGGCCCAAACGCCUACGGGAGGCAGCAGUAGGGAAUCUUCGGCAAUGGACGAAAGUCUGACCGAGCAACGCCGCGUGAGUGAAGAAGGUUUUCGGAUCGUAAAACUCUGUUGGUAGAGAAGAACGUUGGUGAGAGUGGAAAGCUCAUCAAGUGACGGUAACUACCCAGAAAGGGACGGCUAACUACGUG
rnacentral:rRNA from 1 species